CUGCUCUUUUCUUAACUCCUUACAUCUAUUAACUAAAAUUACAAAUUAAAAUCAAGUUAAGAAACUUGAAAUUUCUAGGAUAGCUGACAAACUUUAUCCCAUGGACACACAGAAUGUAAGGAUCUUGCAAUGUUCCAGACAGUUUAUGUCUGUUUAAAAACAGAAUAAACAUUUCACCCAUAUUUUGGGGAUGCAAAAUCCACAUCUAUUAUUUAGCUUAAUUAUCAAAGCAUUUAAAAGACUGAGUAAUACAGUAGUAAUCAGUACUAAGUAUUCAACUAUAGAAGAAUCAUCUCAAAAGGAAUUGAUCUGAUUUGCAUAGGAAACACAUUAGAAAACUGACAACUGUAUCAUUUCAGCCUAAGACAAAAGAAAAAUAAAUUUCCAAUUGUUCUUAGGGAAUCUUUUCCAAAACUACGGACUUCAGUAAUGGGAGUCUUAGGGAGGCAGAGCCAAAAUGGCAGAGUACCAGAAAGAAGUACACCAAGCUCUUCCUUUGUCCCCCUAACUCUUCCAAACAGAUCUAGAAAAAGCAGGAGACUGAAUCCUAAUUGGGAAAUGCAAGAAAAGGUCACACUGAGUUUUGGAGUUUUGGAGUCUUGCAUUCUUGCAAAAGGUAUCCUUCCCGAACCCUAGGGGAACACCUCUUCACCCCUACAAAAAAAAGGAAAUAUGAUAAAAAGUGGGAGCUAGAGAAACAAUAAUGAAGGCCUAUAAGGAGUAAGGCCAGAGACAUAAAAGCAAGAAUCACAAUUUCAUUUACUCAAUUAGAAAAGAGAGAAAGAAAUAUCCAGGAUGAAGAAAAAUGUUGCUCCUUUAUUUUAGGUAAGGAAGGACUAUAAUAUCAGUGUCAUCAAAAAGGAUUAGAUCUUUUAACUUUUUUUUACAAGUCUUGUCUUCCUGAACUGCAUAUUAGAAAAAGAAACAGGCAAAAUAGAUUGAAUGGACACUCUGAAGUAGAGAAAGAAUAGUGAUAAGAACAGUGGUAUUGAAAUAAAAAGGGAUCUUUCUAUAGAAAUUGCA
rnacentral:lncRNA from 1 species